CAGUAGCCACGGUAAUACGUAGGGUGCAAGCGUUAAUAGGAAUUACUGGGCGUAAAGCGUGCGCAGGCGGUUUUGUAAGACAGAGGUGAAAUCCCCGGGCUCAACCUGGGAAAUGCCUUUGUGACUGCAAGGCUAGAGUACGGCAGAGGGGGAUGGAAUUCCGCGUGUAGCAGUGAAAUGCGUAGAUAUGCGGAGGAACACCGAUGGCGAAGGCAAUCCCCUGGGCCUGUACUGACGCUCAUGCACGAAAGCGUGGGGAGCAAACAGGAUUAGAUACCCCAGUAGUCCCUGUCUCUUAUAC
rnacentral:rRNA from 1 species